rnacentral:misc_RNA from 1 species
UCCGGUUUAACACCGGCAGUCUUGUUAGAGUGCCCGGCUUUACCCGCUGGCAACUAACAAUAAGGGUUUCGCUCGUUAUGGGACUUAACCCGACACUUCACAGCACGAGCUGACGACAGCCAUGCAGCACCUGUGAUGGUUCCGGAUUGGAUACCGGUCAUUGCCCUUUCAGGUUUUUACUUCCACCAUGUCAAGUCCAGGAUAAGGUUCUUCGCGUUGCUUCGAAUUGAGCCACAUGCUCCACCGCUUGUGUGAGCCCCCGUCAAUUCCUUUGAGUUUUAGCCUUGCGACCGUACUUCCCAGGUGGCAGACUUAACAAUUUUUCUACGACCACAACGGGGUGUAACCCGCUGCAAUCUAGUCUGCAUCGUUUAGGGCGUGGACUA